GCGCAAUAGUCAUGUAAAAAUAUCAAUUUGUUACCAUUUUAUUCCUAUCAAAACAGUCGUAAUCACGCAGGAGACGAUUUGAAUUGACUACCUUUAAUAGUUUCGCUUGAUAAUAAUUCAUGCUCACUUUGAUCAUCAAAACAGUCGAAACGGAAACCAGGCCUAUGAAAGUGAAUGAGGCGGGCUACUUUUGUCACCAGCACCGUCGUUACUACGCAACGAAGUUAUUGAAAUUGUAAACUUGGUUAUCAUUCUUAGCUUACCGUCUCACCGUGGUCAUCAGAACGCAACUGUGAAAUAGUUAUGUCUGCUUCACGACGCAAAACACAAAUAUUUACAUUCGGAGAAUGGAGCAAGUGUCAGGUUCAGUUUAGGAAUGGAAGAUUGGUGGAAAUCGUUGUGCCAUGCUGAACAGCCGUAUUCUUUCCUGAGCCAGCUGGCUCGGCAUCAGACGAUGACGAACUACAGUCUUUCGAGAGCCUGUCAUAACCUUUCCCGUAACUGGAGUUUUCUACCGAGUAUCCAACGAAAUCUUCACAGGAGCCUUUAUUUUCAACAUGGUUUCGGCUGUUACUGUUAACGGUUGAUAUUCUGGCUAAAUCCGUAAACUCUGUCGCAGCAGCCAUUGUGCGAGAACACGGUAACAGCAGUCUCGAGAACAAGCAUUGAUAGAACGAUCAAAAAUAACCAAUACAUUGAAUCCUGCUUAACUUGUGUCACCCACCAUAUGAGAAAACACGCGUGAACACAAAACACAAAACGACUUAGAAAGGCAGCAAGCGGGACCUGUUAAUACCGAUUCACAUUAGUGACGUUCAUGCACAAUGUUUUGACUGAAAAUUUUUUUCCCAUUUCUUGCUGACAACGAGAGCUGGAACUUCAAAGAAAACAUCAAAUUUGGAUUGUCCAGAUGCUGAAAAAGCUUCUUGCUUGUACUAUUAAUUGACAGGAAAAUUUCUGACAACCUCAGCCAAGGGAGAACCUUCCUUUUCCUGCAGAAAUAUAAAGCCAAUAAGGAUGAAAUUUACAAAGACUGAAUAUGCAGCUAUCAUGAAAACAUCAACUGGUAGACAUGACGCAAGGGGAUCUCACUAACCUGGCAGUAGGCCGACCAAACAAACUCAUCAUAAUUUUC